rnacentral:misc_RNA from 1 species
UGCUCCAGAAUAUGUGAUGACAGGUACAGAAGUUGUAAUAUUUGGUUUGGACUCCUUGAAACCUUUUUUUAACUCUCACAUACAGAUCUUUGAUUCAAUGGAGAAUUUAAGUCAACUAGAGAACAAGUUUAUAUAUCUGUAGAUGAAUAGGAUUGACUAACUACUGGCAUUGAUGAUCUUCUGCUUAAGGAGAGUUUUUUAUUAGCCCUGCGCUACUAAGAACUCUUUCUUCAUCCAGUUUAGCUCCUUUGGAACAUAUUCUUCAAGGCUAGGGAAUCAGAUCAUAUUGUGAAUCAUCUGGUUGUGGAUCUAAUAAAUUCUACACUUUUGGCUUUUCUCCCAGGACACUUGACAUCUAAGA